AGUGAACGCUGGCGGCAGGCCUAACACAUGCAAGUCGAGCGGCAGCGCGGGGGCAACCCUGGCGGCGAGCGGCGGACAGGUGAGGAAUACAUCGGAAUCUACCCAGUCGUGGGGGAUAACGUAGGGAAACUUACGCUAAUACCGCAUACGACCUGAGGGUGAAAGCAGGGGACCGCAAGGCCUUGCGCGAUUGGAUGAGCCGAUGUCCGAUUAGCUAGUUGGUGAGGUAAAGGCUCACCAAGGCGACGAUCGGUAGCUGGUCUGAGAGGAUGAUCAGCCACACUGGAACUGAGACACGGUCCAGACUCCUACGGGAGGCAGCAGUGGGGAAUAUUGGACAAUGGGCGCAAGCCUGAUCCAGCCAUGCCGCGUGUGUGAAGAAGGCCUUCGGGUUGUAAAGCACUUUUGUCCGGAAAGAAAUCCUGUCGGUUAAUACCUGGCGGGGAUGACGGUACCGGAAGAAUAAGCACCGGCUAACUUCGUGCCAGCAGCCGCAGUAAUAC
rnacentral:rRNA from 1 species